rnacentral:tRNA from 1 species
GGAUUGUGGCUCAGAGGAAAAGCGCUUGCCUUGCAUGCGUGAGGCACUGGGUUCAAUCCUCAGCACCA